UCGAAAUCGGUAGACGCUACGGACUUAAAAUCCGUCGACUUUAUAAGUCGGGAGGGUUCAAGUCCCUCUAUCCCCA
rnacentral:tRNA from 1 species